rnacentral:hammerhead_ribozyme from 1 species
AUCCAGCUGACGAGUUCGGAAUAGGACGAACCGCAUGUCUUGGAU